rnacentral:rRNA from 1 species
UGGGCAGUUUGACUGGGGCGGUCGCCUCCCAAAAGGUAACGGAGGCGCUCAAAGGUUCUCUCAGUACGGUCGGAAAUCGUACGUAGAGGGUAAAGGCAAAAGAGAGCUUGAUUGCAAGACAUACAGGUCGAGCAAGGAUGAAAAUCGGACUUAGUGAUCCGGUGGUUCUGCGUGGAAGGGCCAUCGCUCAACGGAUAAAAGCUACCCUGGGGAUAA